rnacentral:lncRNA from 1 species
CGUGUGCCUUGUUCCUCUGCUCUCUGUUUCUCUCCGUUGCAAGCAGGCUGAAAGAUUGGUCUGAUUUAUUUUCAUCUCUGCUGCCAGGGGCCCUAGGGCAAUGCCAGCGAUCUACAACGUGGCGACAUGGUGAGCGAUUGUGGAGUAGCCUUGAAUGGUUGGUGUGACUUGCUUUGACCUUUGCUGCUGGGUGCCUUGGCGGAGUGCUGGCGAGCUAUUGAGUCUCAUCAUGAAUGCAGUGACUUAUGAGGACGUGCAUGUGAACUUCACUCAAGAGGAGUGGGCUCUGCUGGAUCCUUCUCAGAAGAAGCUCUACAAAGAUGUCAUGCUGGAGACCUACAGGAACCUCAAUGCUAUAGGAUUUAAUUGGGACGACAAAAAUAUUCAAGAACAUUGUCCAAGUUCUAGAAGACACAGAAGGCAUGAAAGAAGUCCGAGUGCAGAGAAAGCGUCUGAAUAUACUCAAUGUGAUAAAGUCUUUUUUUUAUGCUCACAGUCAUGCUCAAAGGCAUGAAAGGAUUCAUACAGAAAUGAACCCCCUUGGAAUUAUUCAAUUUGUUGAAGCCUUUGCUCAACAUCGUCUCCAACUUCGUAAAAGAGCACAAACUGGAAAGAAACUCUAUGAAUGGAAGCAAUGUGGUAAAGCCUUUGAAGAUCACAGUCAUCUUAAAAGCUAUGAAGGAAUUCAUACGGGAGAGAAACCUUAUGAAUGUCAUCAGUGUGAAAAAGCCUUUUCAAGUCACAGUAAUCUCCUACAACCUAAAGGAACACAUACUGGAGAGAAAUGCUAUGAAUGUGAUCUGUGUGGUAAAGCCUUUUCACAACAUAGUCGGCUUAAAAGGCAUGGAAGAAUUCAUACUGGAGAGAAACCCUACAGAUGUAAUAACUGUGAGAAAGCCUUUUCACAACAUAUUCACCUCCAGUCACAUAGAAGAAUUCCUACUGGAGAGAAACCCUACAAAUGUAAUAAAUGUGAGAAAGCCUUUUUACAACACUAUAACCUCCAAAGACAUAAAAGAAUACAUAUUGGAAAGAAACCCAAUGAAUGUGGUCUAUGUGUGAAAGCCUGUAUAAGUCACAGGUAUCUUCAAAAGCAUAAAUAAAUAUUCAUACUUGUGAUGGUUUGUAUAUCCUUGGACCAGGGAGUGGCACCAUUUGAAGGUUUAGCCUUGUUGGAAUAGGUGUGACCUGGUUGGAAUGGGUGUGUCACUCUGGGUGUGGGUAUAAGAUCCUCA